GAAGAUAGACCUUAAAUCGACAGUCUGCAUACAAACAUUUUAAUUGUCUUGUGCAUUUUGUCUUUUGCAAUUUUAGCAUGUGGCUCGGAUGGGACCGCCCCUGCUACUUUGCGACCCCUGCGCGCCCUCCUGGCUGGUGAUCUAUGGGCCCAACACUGAGCCCAGCUCCUGACUUUAUGCUCCAGACUCCUGGCUACUGAUACCAUGUGUUCCUUGUCAGCUGCAUUAUUCUACUCUCGUCAGCCCUCUCACUUUGGAAAGUUAUCAGUAAUACACUGGCCACAGCCAUCUAGAACCUUUGUCACCUCCAGGUCCUUGCUUCACUGGAUGCUUCCUAACCAGCACCUGCAAUCACCUAUAGGCCAGACUGACUUGUCUUCAAAAGAAAGACCCUCCUCAAAGUCCAUGGAAAAGGGCUAUGCCAGAGAGUUCCGGUAUGGUCUCCUGAUGGCAUCAUUUAAACACUGCUGAGACCCUACCAGGGGACUCGGUCAGGAUUUCCAGAAUUCUAGUGGAGAAGCAUUUGGACUCAUGAGACUACUAACCCACCUUCGAGCAAAGUGAGAACUAGUUACAUAGGCCUAAAUGAACUACUGAGGAAGGACUAUGGUUUUUAUUUGGAAUAUUUUAAUGUUCUACUUUCUGAACAUAAGGAAGUCUUUGCUCUUCUUAUGCCAUCUGUAUCUUAAAACAAUUUGGUAGACAAAGCUUUUGCAAAAACAAAGGACCUAUUUAGAAACAGUAUCUGAGUCUCUCCCCCCACGCCCCACCCCCUGCCCAGAAUUUGGAAACUCAGUAUUAUGUAGUGUUCUUGCUUUCAGGGCAAUAUAAUUAUUUGCCUAGGUUCAACAAGAAUCUGUCUUCCUUAUUACCAGGACAUAACCAAAAAAACUGGUUAAGUAACCACGGCCUUGGCUGCAAGAUCAUAUUUGAUCAUAUAAUCAGCAACAACCAGACCCUUUCAAGAAAUGAAAGCAGACUUCAUGGCACCAAUGCCUGCCAAAGCCCUCUUGGGAAAACAAGCCAGGGACCUGGCUUCCAGGGUUCCCAACUCAUAAAUGAGCAAGAAAGAUCACUUUGUAGGGGUCCCAGAGCUGGAGGAUAUGCUGGGGACCACAGAAGGAAGGAAUUUAUGCAAAUAUGUACAUAAUGAAGGUGAAAUCUGACAGCAAGCUCUUGUUCCAGCUUCCUAGUCUCAAGAGACUUUUAAAUGCACAAUCUAAGAUUCCUUAUGAAAACUUCCUGCGAACUAUUCUUGCUACACCUAUGUAAAUAAAUAUAAUGAGACCA